UCAAAUAUGUUCCAACUUUCGAGAAUGCUAGAAACAGCUACACCAGAGAAUUCACUUGGCCAGCCUGGUUAUCGGCCGUGUUAUUUGGAAUAAUGAUGUGCCUAUGUUUACACUUCGUAUUCAGACACUCACCUUACCAGGAAGAGAAGCCUCUGUCUGAAGUUAUAUGGCUUACUGUAGCAGCAUUUUGUAACGCAGGAGAGACUGUAUCCACAGUGAGCGCAUCCUCCCGAUUUCUCCUGCUGACGUUGUACCUGACGACCAUGAUCCUACACGCUUACUACAGCAGCUUCCUCAUCUCCUCACUGACUUUGGAUAUGAACUACCUGCCGUUCACUGACCUGAGAACGAUGUAUGAAGCCAGAACCCACUCCUUCGGGUUUAUAGGUGGAACUGGGGUGGAGGACGAAUUCAAGCUGUCACCAGUUUCACUUCAUCGGCGUAUAUGGGACGAGAUGGUUCUGGCUGAUCCUAGAAAUCUGAGCCCCUCAAUGGAUGACCUUAUCAAGCGUUUAUGCACCGAACAGCAUGCCACCAUGACGACCCUUAGCUUUAUCAGGUCUUCAUGCCUGCCGUGUAAACUCCUUUUCUUACCGGACAGUUACUUCGUCUCCCAGAAAUCUAUGCCCCUUCAGAAG